AAGAGCCGUGUGAGGUGAGAGUCUCACGCACGGUUCUGUGGGAAGGUGAGGGUGAAAUUCCCUUGCCUGACCCGAU
rfam:Aquiflexum balticum DSM 16537 genome assembly, chromosome: I